UACGUAGGGUGCGAGCGUUAAUCGGAAUUACUGGGCGUAAAGCGUGCGCAGGCGGUUGGCAAAGUCAGCUGUGAAAGCCCCGGGCUUAACCCGGGAAUGGCAUUGGAUACUGCAGAUCUGGAGGAUCGGAGGGGGGACUGGAAUUCUUGGUGUAGCAGUGAAAUGCGUAGAUAUCAAGAGGAACACCAGUGGCGAAGGCGAGUCCCUGGACGAUACCUGACACUGAGGCACGAAAGCUAGGGGAGCAAACAGG
rnacentral:rRNA from 1 species